CGCAAUGUGAUUUCUGCC
rnacentral:snRNA from 1 species